UGAGGAAUAUUGGUCAAUGGGCGCAAGCCUGAACCAGCCAUCCCGCGUGCAGGAAGACGGCCCUAUGGGUUGUAAACUGCUUUUCCAGGGGGAGAAUUUUUCUGUCGUGACAGGAAUUGACGGUACCCUGGGAAUAAGCAUCGGCUAACUCCGUGCCAGCAGCCGCGGUAAUACGGAGGAUGCGAGCGUCAUCCGGAUUUAUUGGGUUUAAAGGGUGCGUAGGCGGAUUGAUAAGUCAGUGGUGAAAACCUGCAGCUUAACUGUAGACUUGCCGUUGAUACUGUCAGUCUUGAGUGUGGUCAAGGUAGGCGGAAUGUGUAAUGUAGCGGUGAAAUGCUUAGAUAUUACACAGAACACCGAUUGCGAAGGCAGCUUACUGGGCCAUUACUGACGCUGAUGCACGAAAGCGUGGGGAU
rnacentral:rRNA from 1 species